UACGUAGGGUGCGAGCGUUGUCCGGAAUUACUGGGCGUAAAGAGCUCGUAGGUGGUUUGUCGCGUUGUUCGUGAAAACUCACAGCUCAACUGUGGGCGUGCGGGCGAUACGGGGCAGACUGGAGUACUGCAGGGGAGACUGGAAUUCCUGGUGUAGCGGUGGAAUGCGCAGAUAUCAGGAGGAACACCGGUGGCGAAGGCGGGUCUCUGGGCAGUAACUGACGCUGGAGGAGCGAAAGCGUGGGGAGCGAACAGG
rnacentral:rRNA from 1 species